ACUUGCCGUCAGUAUGAAAGUGUCAUGCCUAAACUUUGUUACAUUUGAAAUGUGCUUAUGUGGACAGGAAACCGCAUCAAUAGCACAGCUGAGGGCAACUGGAGUAAUUACUGACAGAGCUAGCUUUCUCUUUGUUAUCCUAGCUAGCUACUUUGGUAAAGUAAAUGUAAAAGGAUGUAUCCAAUGUCAUUUGGAGUGCUGAAACUGGAAUUCCCUCCCUGCUGUACGGUCUAGGGUGUUGAGCAGGGAGGUGUUGGUGAAGAAGAAGAGGUAACCGAAGGUUUGGGAGGUGAGUGGAGGGGACAGGCAGGCUUCCCGGGACAGCG